CCCUAGCCCUGAUGGAAGCGGCAUCCUUUUGUGGAGCGCAGCAAAGCAAAAGAUAAAGCGGACAGCAGGAAAGGGC
rnacentral:sRNA from 1 species